rnacentral:tRNA from 2 species
GGAGAGGUGGCUGAGUGGUUGAAAGCGGCAGAUUGCUAAUCUGUUGUAUGGUUAUUCCAUGCCGAGGGUUCGAAUCCCUUCCUCUCCU